rnacentral:tRNA from 1 species
GCGGAAUUAGUUUAAGGGUAGAACGAGUGCCUUCCAAGCAUUCAGUACGAGUUCGAUUCCCGUAUUCCGCUCCA